GACAUUCCCUUUCUUGUGUCUUGUGAUGAAGCUUCAUAGGGCAGAUUCUGAGCUGAGAAUAAAAUUUCUCUCCACUGAUUCUCUCUAGAUGCCAUCUGAAGACACUGCAUAUUGA